CGAGAAGAGAUUUCAAGAUGAGCUCAGCUCUCAUGCUAGCUGUCGUCCCACUGAUCCUGCACUUGCUGGGCGUGGCUGUGGGCGCACCAGCGAGCACAUCACCUGCAAUGCCAAAACUCAAUUCAGAUAAUGAGGUGAAUACUGGGAAGAGCCCCACUGACUCAUCGACAUCCACAAGUGAACCCACCUCUGGCUUAUCUGCGUUCGAGGAGGAAUGCCAGUUUGCUUGGCAAAAGUUCUUGAUCGAUUAUGAUGCGCACUACGAUAAUGACUCCGAACGGCAAAUGCGACGCAAGGUAUUCUGCGGGAAUUGGCAAAAAGUUCGCGAUCACAAUUUAAAAUACGAUUCGGGGGCUGUCAGCUUUAGGAAGGGUAUCAACCAGUUCAGCGAUCUCGACUUUAAAGAGUGGAAAGAGAAACAAACUCCCAGACUCAAGCCAGAAAUCACCGGAGAAUCAUUCGAGGAGGAGAGGGACAAACUGGCUGGCCAGGCUGCAUGGGAAAAAAUCUUGAUUGACUUUGGAGCAAAUGUGCAGAAUGAAAAGUGGGCCGAGCCCCUCAAGAAGGAUAUAAAAAAGUUGACUGAAAUUGACCUUGAGAAUCGACCUACUUCCGCUCCUGGGAUUUCUAAGGAAGAGGCCACCACAUCUACGUCCAAGAUGGAUCAAGAUGAUAUCAAAUGCCAGGCAGCUUGGGAGAAGUUUAUGAAUGACUUUAAGCCGAGAUAUCAAGAUGAUACUGAAAUCGAAAAACGCCGAAUUAUAUUUUGCAACAACUGGAAAGCGAUUCAGAAACACAAUUUACAGUUUGACUUGGGAGUCGAAUCUUUCAAGAAGGGCAUAAAUCAGUGGAGUGAUCUUACCGUAGAGGAGUGGAAAAACAAACAACGACCUCAUAUAGCUCCAGAUUUUUAAAGAGAAAAAAACGACUACAGAAAUGAGCAAGGUCCCUCAAGGUCUAAAAAAGAGGUUCUUUAAAAAGUAAAUGAUGAAAGUUACCAACACAGACACUACAGUCUAUUACUCACCUUUCAAAUACACGCAAAAAUAUUGCAAUUAACGCAUAGAGAAUACUUGACCGUUUUUGGGUUGAUUUUUAAAAAUAUGUAUUUAUUAUUUCUUGAGGGGCUGUCCAGUUGAGAAUCUUGCUUGAGGAGUUUAUCUAUGACAAUAGUGUUUCGCAAAUGUUCAAGCCGAUUUUGGGCCGUUUUGGGUUCGCUAUUUAAAUCGAUCAUUAAGUUUUAAAUGAGUAAAUUUUGUUUUAUGUUUCUUUCUCUACCUUUGUUACUUCUUUAGUUUUUUAGUUUUUUAUAACGCACACGAACUCUACAUGAUUAAUUUAUACUUGUAUAUUUGCUGAGAUCCCUAUCUCCUUGUUGCAUUUAACAGGGCGCUUCGUAUUACACAUACAAUCCGUAAAUAUAUAUAAUAUAUAAUA